AACUAGUGAGGCUGAGAGAGAGAGAUAAUUCAUCUAUUUCUCACACCUGCACACACCACACACACCAAACAAAAAAAAUAAUUAAUCACAUUUUUAAAAAUUCUCAAGUUUUCUUUAAUUUUCAUUUUAUUUCCCCCCCUUCUGUUUAAUCCCCCUCUUCUUUAAUCCCUUUCUGUUAACUAUCUGCCUUUCAAGAACAAUUCUUGGAUUUUGGGUUUGUAUUUUUUGAUUGAAAAAAAAAAUUAUUUUUUUUGAAGAAAAUGCAAACUUUUAGACAUUAAUUUCUUAAAAAGUCAGGUGUUUUCAGAAUUGAGAUUUAUUUAUCAUUAAAUGUUGUAGAAUUUAUUCAUUCUUUCUAUCUUUCUUCAACUUAGAGGGCUUAUUAGUUGUCCCUCAAAAAGUUGAUUUUUUUCUUAAUCAC
rnacentral:lncRNA from 1 species